rnacentral:rRNA from 1 species
GAUGAACGCUGGCGGCGUGCCUAACACAUGCAAGUCGAACGAAGCGUAUCUGACGGAGAUUCGUCGAAGCCGGAUAUGACUUAGUGGCGGACGGGUGAGUAAUGUAUGAGCAACCUGCCUUUCAGAGGGGGACAACAGUUGGAAACGACUGCUAAUACCGCAUAAUGUAUUUGGGUGGCAUCACCUGGAUACCAAAGGAGCAAUCCGCUGAAAGAUGGGCUCAUAUCUGAUUAGCUUGUUGGCGGGGUAACAGCCCACCAAGGCGACGAUCAGUAGCCGGACUGAGAGGUUGAACGGCCACAUUGGGACUGAGAUACGGCCCAG